rnacentral:lncRNA from 1 species
AAAAAUAAUAAAAGAUAAACGAGUGAUGGAUAAUGCUAACUAGUAUUCUCAAUCAAAAUUGAUAUAAUGGCCAAUUUCGUUUACAUAUAUUUCUAUAAUUAUUUUGAUUUCUAGCAGUUAAUAUUUUAACGACAUUUAUGAAGUGUACUACGCUAAGCAGCUGAACAAUAAUAAUUAACGCCUUGGCAUUUACUUAGAACAAGGAUCAACAGAAACUUCGACAUUUUCUUCACUUUUUCGAUUAACAUACACCAUCCAAUAUGAAGAACUUUUAGUUUGAAAAUUUUUUAACAUAUUUCUAAACAACCCGUACCAAAUGAAGCCGAUGACUACACAUAUGACGAUUUCUACAUAGUAACCAUCCACAGUUUCUACUUGAUGGGCAUCGAUUUUAAACACACACUCAUCGGCUUUGGACCCGAGGUAUACUUGGAUACAGCAAAUGGUGUUACAAUUUUCACUGCAAACAUUGCUGUAUUGAGUACCAUUAUAUCAUCUGCUGGUACACCGGCAUCAACGAGUUUCAAAUAAACAUCGUCAGUGCCCAACUGUCGACAACUAUGUUCUGCGUUGAAGCCAACAGAUUAAGGACGAAGAACACGCACGUUAGCAUUACUAUGUUAGGUUUACCUGUUUCAGGAAUCCAGUCAUUGAUGUUAUUCGCCGAAAAAAGUAAUAUUGAAAUGAUGAAUGAUUACCCAUUAAGUAUUGAACUGGCAGGAGCCAAGAUUUUCGUUUUCCGAUCCAUUGUACAUAAUGAACGUCUACCAAUGGAGCCCAAAAUAGUUUCAGGCUAUUGGGCCAUAAAUUAUUGGUAAAGCUGAAAUUGAAAAUCCAAAAGUAAUUCCUUGCAUUAUGUACAGUAAUAUUAAUAAAAAUAAGCUCGACCGGUCUUCCUUUAAAUUUGGUUUGGUCGACGUCGAGUGAAGUGU